GGUCGUGUAGUGUAGUUGGUUAGCACAUCGGAUUCUGAUUAGUCACCACUUUCCGGUAACCCUGGUUCGAAUCCUGGCAUGACCU